GAAGUUAUAGCUCAGUGGUAGAGCAUAUGCUUAGCAUGCAUGAGGUCCUCGGUUCAGUCCCCAGUAUGUGCA
rnacentral:tRNA from 1 species